GCCAUACAUAAACAGAUCAGACCACGUCAUCCCCACGUGUCUCUUCUUUGAGACUUUCUUGCCUCGAUUCACCUGCAUAUCCAAAGAAUAUUGAAAAGGGGAGAGACAUGGAGAUGCCUGAGCGGUUACUACUUCGCCGAUAUCGGUGAACGGCGUCUUUUACUCCUGAUUCCAAGUCAUCCGGUAUCUCGUAGCUCAUCUCCAUUGUAGAUCGUCUUCAUAGAAACUUUCGCCGAUCGACUCUAAUGUAUGUUGAUUUUGAUAGAUUCGCCUUUAGGGUGUUGCUGCGCAACCAAAACCGACGCCAAUCAGGUGUAAUCAUAUCGGUUUCUAUCAAUAAUAGGUUUACCAGAUUGUAUCUGACUUAAUUUGAUUUGUGAUUGUUUUGGUAGAUUAGACGGUGGAUGAACGGGUUGGAUUCCGGUAAGAUAAUACUGUGUCGUCGUUGUGUAAUUUGACCCAAAUCUGGGUGUUUCCGAUUAAUGGCAAUGUGAUAUCAUUUGUUUUGGGAAAGUUAGGGGAUAAUAAGUGACGGUGUGUUUGUGGAGGAUUCGAUGUUGUGUUGAACGGUGUACCAUGUUCAUAAUUCGGGGAUGUCUCUACUCAGCAAGAUAUAGAUGUGCCAUUUUGGGGGAAAAUUAGAUGGAUGUAGAUAUUGACGACUAUGAAAAUAAACAAGCCGAGUGGUCCAUUUCUAUAGGCAUUAUACUGUUGGUAACCUUUUUUAGGAGCGCCACAAAGGGCCAUGGAUGAAUACCAGGCACAAAUCGCAACUUUGGUGAAAGAAGACGAGUAUUCGAAGAUUAGCUGUCGACUUUUACAUAUAUUUCAUAUAGUUUAUAAACUUCAUAUAAAAUCAUAUUUUUAUUGACCGAUGGGGGUAAUUUUUUUUUUUUGUUAUAAAUGAUAUGAGUCUACUUCAUUUAAGUUUUAAACGUAAAUAAAGAAUAUAAAUUUUAUUAUGGUCAAAGUUGUGUUAUACAAUAUGCUAUAUUUGUUGGAUGAAAUGUGGCAGGGAUGAUAUCGGUAUGGUAUUGAUGUCGAACCUCAAAAAAUCAUUUUGGGAUACCAUUGUUAGUCACAACACUUUCUUUAAAACACUCAAGAUAAAUGUUAUAAGACUAAGAUUCUUUUCUAUGGUUCCGCAGAUUCGUACUUCUUUUUAUAAAAGGGAGGACGAGGAACCAAUUGACGAAAAAAAUUAGUUUGAAGAAUUAUGGAAGCCCAGGUGUGUUAGAGCUUGGCAUGAGUCUCAGAGGAUAAACAUGAGAAAGGUAAACCGAUCAAAAGAUUUGGAGUUGCUGAUUCUGUUUAAAGAAGUGAUGAAAAUGGAUCUUUUAUCACACUUAUUGUGUCCAAUUAAAGAACUGGAAAUUGAUCAUCACAGAUAACAAACAUUUCAAAACACACUUAUUAUGCAUUACCUGCGGAUGAUUAAACUCCCCCAUCCAAGAAAGACAAGAACCAUGGCAGCAGCUAGAACAUCAAACACCCAUUUAUCAACAAGAACCAGGAACCAACAUUUUUCUAACAACUGAUGUAUUGUGAAUGCAAAUAUAACCAGGAACCAACAUUUUUCUAACAACUGAUGUAUUGUGAAUGCAAAUAUAAAACCCCCAUCCCGCUGCCAAGACAAAAAUACCAAACGCUGGUGCAACACACGAUAAGCAGAUCUCCGUGUCCAAGGUUUUGGAAGAUAUAAAAGUUUUGGCAUUUAUGUGCGUCAAAAGCCAAUCAAAGGCUACUGCUCUCUUUGGGAUAUUUGGUGUAGGUUUAGCUUGGAAUGUCUAAAGUGAUAGGGUGCGAUGUAUUUGUUGUUUUCAGGUUUUGUGGUUGUUGGCUUCUCAAGUUUUGAUGCUACUGUGGUAGUUUUCUUUUUUGGUGGAUGUAAUAGUUAGCUUCCUACUAACUCUUUUGGUUUUGUAAUAAAAAAUUUCGUCGGUUUUAGUUCAA